rnacentral:miRNA from 1 species
UUAGUUGCUAAUGUGGCCGAUAU